AUUGAACGCUGGCGGCAGGCCUAACACAUGCAAGUCGAGCGGAUGAAGAGAGCUUGCUCUCUGAUUUAGCGGCGGACAGGUGAGUAAUGCCUAGGAAUCUGCCUGGUAGUGGGGGAUAACGUUCCGAAAGGAACGCUAAUACCGCGUACGUCCUACGGGAGAAAGCAGGGGACCUUCGGGCCUUGCGCUAUCAGAUGAGCCUAGGUCGGAUUAGCUAGUUGGUGAGGUAAUGGCUCACCAAGGCGACGAUCCGUAAAUGGUCUGAGAGGAUGAUCAGUCACACUGGAACUGAGACACGGUCCAGACUCCUACGGGAGGCAGCAGUGGGGAAUAUUGGACAAUGGGCGAAAGCCUGAUCCAGCCAUGCCGCGUGUGUGAAGAAGGUCUUCGGAUUGUAAAGCACUUUAAGUUGGGAGGAAGGGCGUUUGGCUAAUAUCCAGGCGUUUUGACGUUACCAACAGAAUAAGCACCGGCUAACUUCGUGCCAGCCGCCGCAGUAAAAC
rnacentral:rRNA from 1 species